rnacentral:rRNA from 1 species
UGUGACCUCAAAUCAGGUAGGACUACCCGCUGAACUUAAGCAUAUCAAUAAGCGGAGGAAAAGAAACUAACAAGGAUUCCCCUAGUAACUGCGAGUGAAGCGGGAAAAGCUCAAAUUUAAAAUCUGGCGGUCUUUUGGCUGUCCGAGUUGUAAUCUAGAGAAGUGUUAUCCGCGCUGGACCGUGUACAAGUCUCCUGGAAUGGAGCAUCAUAGAGGGUGAGAAUCCCGUCUUUGACAUGGACUGCCAGGGCUUUGUGAUGCGCUCUCAAAGAGUCGAGUUGUUUGGGAAUGCAGCUCAAAAUGGGUGGUAAAUUCCAUCUAAAGCUAAAUAUUGGCGAGAGACCGAUAGCGAACAAGUACCGUGAGGGAAAGAUGAAAAGAACUUUGGAAAGAGAGUUAAACAGUACGUGAAAUUGCUGAAAGGGAAACGCUUGAAGUCAGUCGCGUCGUCCAGGGAUCAACCUUGCUUUUGCUUGGUGCACUUUCUGGUUCGAUGGGUCAGCAUCAAUUUUGACUGUUGGAAAAAGGUCAAGGGAAUGUGGCAUCUUUGGAUGUGUUUAUAGCCCUUGGUCACAUACAAUGGUUGGGAUUGAGGAACUCAGCACGCCGCAAGGCCGGGUUUUAAACCACGUACG